rnacentral:lncRNA from 1 species
AAUGUUUAAUUUCUUCAAAGGCUUCUAUGGUUGUCGUCUCUAGGAUUCACAACAAUCUAGCUGUCGUGGGCAGGACAAGAGGGAUUAUUCCUAUUUUGAAGAUGAGAAAACAGUUCCUAGGAGAGCACCUUUCCUGCCUGAGGUCACUUAGCUGAGAGAGAACAUGCACAAGUCGGGGUACGGAGGGGCAAAGGGAAAGAGAAAGAGAAGAUCUUCAGCAGGCUUCAUACCGAGGACAGAGCCCCAUGUGGGGCUUGAUAUCAUGGACCUACGAUUAUAACCAGAGCUGAAAUCAAGAGUCAGACACAACCCACUGGACCAUCCAGACACCCCAUGUCAACU